rnacentral:rRNA from 1 species
CGCGUAGGCGGCGUGUUAAGUCGGAUGUGAAAGCCCCGGGCUCAACCUGGGAACUGCACCCGAUACUGGCAAGCUAGAGUACGAGAGAGGGAGGUAGAAUUCCACGUGUAGCGGUGAAAUGCGUAGAUAUGUGGAGGAAUACCGGUGGCGAAGGCGGCCUCCUGGCUCGAUACUGACGCUGAGGUGCGAAAGCGUGGGGAGCAAACA